rnacentral:rRNA from 1 species
CCUACGGGGCGCAGCAGUGGGGAAUAUUGCACAAUGGGGGAAACCCUGAUGCAGCAACGCCGCGUGGGUGAAGGAGCGUUUCGGCGCGUAAAGCCCUGUCAGCGGGGAAGAAGAAAGACGGUACCCGACCAAGAAGCCCCGGCUAACUACGUGCCAGCAGCCGCGGUAAUACGGAGGGUGCGAGCGUUAAUCGGAAUUACUGGGCGUAAAGCGCUCGUAGGCGGUAUGUCAAGUCAAGGGUGAAAUCCCCGCGCUCAACGUGGGAACUGCCUUUGAAACUGGCAAACUGGAGUGUGUGAGAGGAU